rnacentral:rRNA from 1 species
AGCGAACGCUGGCGGCAUGCCUAACACAUGCAAGUCUGACGGGCCUGGGGCUUGCUCCGGGUCAGUGGCGGACGGGUGAGGAACGCGUAGGAACGUAUCCAAGGGUGGGGAUAACCGCGGGAACUGCGGCGUAAUACCGCAUGGGGCCGGCGGGGAGACCUGGGGCCGAAAGGCGUGGGCAACCACGUCGCCGAUGGAGCGGCCUGCGUCCGAUUAGCUAGUUGGUGGGGUGACGGCUUACCAAGGCUACGAUCGGUAGCUGGUCUGAGAGGAUGAUCAGCCACACUGGGACUGAGACACGGCCCAGACUCCUACGGGAGGCAGCAGUGGGGAGUAUUGGACAAUGGGCGAAAGCCUGAUCCAGCAAUGCGCGUGGU